GGAAGUCUCUCUUCAAUGCCUACUCUUUCCUUUUUUUUUUAUGGAAAUUUUCUGGGUAUUGAAUGGUUGAUUGAAGAAUUUAAUUGUUUGGUAUUGGUCAAUUUGCAAAUUCAUUCGAACCUAAUGGUUAAUUUAAGCUAAUACUGCGGAGGUAGCAUUAUCGUUAUAAUGUUGAAAUCAUGGCUUUUGUGGUUUUGUUGUGUUGAAGCUAAUGGUUGAUUAGAGCAAAGUGUUGGAUUUCACUGUUGAAGUUGUUGAUAAUAUUGCGUUUUGUGUAGCCGUGUGCGUCUAAAUGUUGGCUUGAUGGUUCUGUCUUUGGUGGAGUCGAGAUGGUGGCUACGAUUGAUGGUGGUUCUGCUUGUUUGUGUAGCCGGUGACAUUGUUAAGCACUGCCCUUCUCUCUUUUCUUGUUUUUUGGUUUGGAGAAGGCACUGUUCUCCUCAUUUUCAAAUCCCCAACUUGUUAUUGCUAUUGUUCUUGUUGUUGCUGCUGCAACUGAUGCAGUUGAUGCUGCUGUUUCUGAUAAUGAAUUUGGAGCCGUUGAAACUGCUAUAUGGUUAAAAGAGUAUGCAUCGCAUGAUUUCACUAGUUUUGUGAGACUGUAUCUCCUUGUUGAAUGUAAUUCCCUCAUCUCAUAAGUUUCAAUUAGCUUAUUGGAAUUGAAAUUUUGUAACUUGUGGGCAUGAAUUUAUGAACAUUGGAAUUGAAAUUGUGGAACUUGUGAUGAGACAGAAGUAGAUAAGGGGAAAGAGAGAAAUGGGGAGAGAUAAACAGUUAAAAAGGGAGAUAAAGAGAAAUGUUUCUUCUCUUCUUGUACUAACGAGACUAACAGUAAAU
rnacentral:misc_RNA from 1 species